GGGGUUGAGGCAGGAAAAAUUCACUAGAGCAGCCGCUUCCAGAGUGGGCCAAACCCUGGGCUGAAGACAGCCGAGGAAGGGGCAGGGACAGCAGGACGAGGCGCGGAGCUGGCUCUGUCCCCGCGCUGUCCCCGCGCUGUGCCCGGCAGCGGGGCCGCAGCGCCACCCAGCGGCCGAGAGGCGCCGCCGCCUCGGCCCCGCCGCGUCCGCCCGCUCCCCUCACGGGGCCCGGGGAGGCCUCAGGCCCGCAAGGCCACCCGGUGCCACCCCUGCCAUGGCAGGGACACCUCCCACCGACCCAGGCUGCUCCAAGCCCAGUGUCCAGCCUGGCCUUGGGCACUGCCAGGGAUCCAGGGGCAGCCACAGCUGCUCUGGGCACCCUGUGCCAGGGCCUGCCCACCCUCCCAGGGAGCAAUUCCUAAUUCCCAAUAUCCCAUCCAGCCCUGCCCUCUGGCAGUGGGAAGCCAUUCCCUGUGUCCUGUCCCUCCAUCCCUUGUCCCCAGUCCCUCUCCAGCUCUCCUGGAGCCCCUUCAGGCCCUGCAAGGGGCUCUGAGCUCUCCCUGGAGCCUUCUCCUCUCCAGGUGAAUUUUGAGGCCUUUGGCCUCAGCACCUGCAGACCUUCUCAGUGACUCAUGGCAUCCCCAAGGAGUGCUCUGGGGUCCUUCCUGGUACAGAGGAGCCCAGGACUCAGCACAGCCCAUGAAGGUCCUCCUGCAGAGCUCCAACCUUGCAGGGAUGGGUUGGCACACUUUGGAAAGACCUGAGUGGAAGAACUCACAGGAGGGAGAAGGAGUCAGAGCAGUCUCCAGCACGUCCCUUGUUCAAAGCACCCUCAUGUGCAUCCCAGAGCCAGCACAGAUACAGUCGCUCUUUGCUUUUGGUUUCCAGUAACCAGAGCUUCAACAAGCUCCUCAUUU